UACAGAGGUCUCAAGCGUUGUUCGGAUUCAUUGGGCGUAAAGGGUGCGUAGGCGGCGCGGUAAGUCGGGUGUGAAAUCUUGGAGCUUAACUCCGAAACUGCAUUCGAUACUGGCGUGCUUGAGGACUGGAGAGGAGACUGGAAUUCAUGGUGUAGCAGUGAAAUGCGUAGAGAUCAUGAGGAAGACCAGUGGCGAGGGCGGGUCUCUGGACAGUUCCUGACACUGAGACACGAAGGCCAGGGGAGCAAACGGG
rnacentral:rRNA from 1 species